rnacentral:tRNA from 1 species
GCGCCCAUAGUUCAAUUGGAUAGAACGUUAGAUUCCGGUUCUAAAGGUUGGGGGUUCGAGUCCCUCUGGGCGUA